rnacentral:rRNA from 1 species
GUGCCAGCAGCCGCGGUAAGACAGAGGGUGCAAACGUUGUUCGGAAUUACUGGGCGUAAAGCGAGUGUAGGCGGUCCACUAAGUCGGAUGUGAAAGCCCUGGGCUCAACCCAGGAAGUGCAUUCGAAACUGGCGGGCUAGAGUAUCGGAGAGGUUGGUGGAAUUCUCGGUGUAGAGGUGAAAUUCGUAGAUAUCGAGAGGAACACCGGCGGCGAAGGCGGCCAACUGGACGAAUACUGACGCUGAGACUCGAAAGCGUGGGGAGCAAACAGGAUUAGAUACCCUGGUAGUCCACGCCGUAAACGAUGGGUGCUAGGUGUCGCGGGCUUUGACUCCCGCGGUGCCGUAGCUAACGCAUUAAGCACCCCGCCUGGGAAGUACGGCCGCAAGGCUAAA